UCCACAUCAGGCUGUCUGAGCUCAGGAUCAUCAGCUGUGAUCUGAUGUCUCAGAUCAUUCUUCUGACUGAUGCUCGUCUUAUCUCUGCGGUGUUACAUGGUGACGGUUCUGCUGGACUUCCUCUGGAGGCCUCCACCAUCAAACAGCCGAAGUCGUCUGAUUAGUCGACGCCGCCUURUUGGGCUUUCGGCUGUUUACACCUGGAACAAAUGAAGCAGAGAGUAUCUCUGAGGUUUGGAAACCCUCGAGUGGGCAAAUCAAUCCCAGCUUUAUCCCGGAGAGCCCGGAUGGAUCAGAGGUGGAGCUGAGUGCAGGUCACUCAAGGUCUUCGGCUCACAUUUUAGCUGCUUUCUGUUCAUUAUUGUGAUUAUGCUGAGUCAGCGUUAGUUUGGAAUCUAACUCUGAAUACUUUGAUGUUUUACCUGUUCAUAAAUCAAAACAUU